CAUAGUUUGCAGAGAGCAGGAACAUUUGAACCAGGGACAGCGCCCCGCCUGUGAAGUCCAGAAUGACUGUGUAGAUACUCCAACCAUCGGUGCUCCUGUGGCUGUAGUUAACGUAGAGCUGGAAGAGGAGGAGGUGGAGGGGAGGUGGAAUUAGAACCUUUACCGGGGCAGGAUGGAGUACACUAACACCAGACAGAAAACAAGGUGGGAUUAGAACCUUUACCGGGGCAGGAUGGAGUACACUAACACCAGACAGAAAACAAGGUGGGAUUAGAACCUUUACCGGGGCAGGAUGGAGUACACUAACACCAGACAGAAAACAAGGUGGGAUUAGAACCUUUACCGGGGCAGGAUGGAGUACACUAACACCAGACAGAAAACAAGGUGGGAUUAGAACCUUUACCGGGGCAGGAUGGAGUACACUAACACCAGACAGAAAACAAGGUGGGAUUAGAACCUUUACCGGGGCAGGAUGGAGUACACUAACACCAGACAGAAAA